AUUGAACGCUGGCGGCAGGCCUAACACAUGCAAGUCGAGCGAGCGGCGGACGGGUGAGUAAUGUAUGGGGACUGCCCGAUGGAGGGGGAUAACGACUGGAAACGGUGGCUAAUACCGCAUACUAUCGGAUAACCCAUAUGGGAUUAGCUAGUAGGUGGGGUAAAGGCUCACCAAGGCGACGAUCUCUAGCUGGUCUGAGAGGAUGAUCAGCCACACGGGGACUGAGACACGGCCCGGACUCCUACGGAGGCAGCAGUGGGGAAUAUUGCGCAAUGGGCGCAAGCCUGACGCAGCCAUGCCGCGUGAAUGAAGAAGGCCUUAGGGUUGUAAAGUACUUUCGGCGAGGAGGCGUUACUCGCAGAAGAAGCACCGGCUAACUCCGUGCCAGCAGCCGCGGUAAUUC
rnacentral:rRNA from 1 species